GACGAACGCUGGCGGCGUGCCUAAUACAUGCAAGUCGAGCGGACUGAAUGGGAGCUUGCUCUUGUUCGGUCAGCGGCGGACGGGUGAGUAACACGUGGGCAACCUGCCCGCAAGACCGGGAUAACUCCGGGAAACCGGAGCUAAUACCGGAUAACACCGAAGACCGCAUGGUCUUUGGUUGAAAGGCGGCGCAAGCUGCCACUUGCGGAUGGGCCCGCGGCGCAUUAGCUAGUUGGUGAGGUAACGGCUCACCAAGGCGACGAUGCGUAGCCGGCCUGAGGGGGUGACCGGCCACCCUGGGACUGAGACACGGCCCAGACUCCUACGGGAGGCAGCAGUAGGGAAUCUUCCGCAAUAGGCGAAAGCCUGACGGAGCGACGCCGCGGGAGCGAAGAAGGCCUUCGGGUCGUAAAGCUCUGUUGUGAGGGACGAAGGAGCGCCGUUUGAAGAAGGCGGCGCGGUGACGGUACCUCACGAGGAAGCCCCGGCUAACUACGUG
rnacentral:rRNA from 1 species